UGAGUGAAUACUUGUAUUGUGCAUGUGUGUAAAAAAUUCAGGAGUGUAUACUGUAUUUUUGUGUGUAUGUGUCUGCAUACUGUAGGUUUGUAUCUGUGCAUGCAAUGUGUAUAGUGUCUUGUGUACAUAUAUUGUAGUUCUAUGUAUCAGUACAGUGUAUUUUUUAUAUAGUAUAGUUUUUUUUUCUGUCUGUUGCUUUCCAAAACAGUAGGUAUGAUGUUCAGAACCUUUCCAGAUCUCAUGGAUCACAUAUGAGUUCUAUAGAUUGUGUCAUAUAGAUUUUAUUUACAUGUGCUUUAGGCCUUUGUGUAACUUUUUGACAAGUCAAUCAUAAAAAAAUACCCAUCCAGUCAAAU